rnacentral:rRNA from 1 species
UUAAGUUAGAAAGGGCGCACGGUGGAUGCCUUGACACUAGGAGUCGAUGAAGGACGGGACUAACGCCGAUAUGCUUCGGGGAGCUGUAAGUAAGCUUUGAUCCGAAGAUUUCCGAAUGGGGAAACCCACCAUACGUAAUGGUAUGGUAUCCUUAUCUGAAUACAUAGGGUAAGGAAGACAGACCCAGGGAACUGAAACAUCUAAGUACCUGGAGGAAGAGAAAGCAAAUGCGAUUUCCUGAGUAGCGGCGAGCGAAACGGAACAUAGCCCAAACCAAGAGGCUUGCCUCUUGGGGUUGUAGGACAUUCUAUACGGAGUUACAAAGGAACGAGGUAGACGAAGCGACCUGGAAAGGUCCGUCGUAGAGGGUAACAACCCCGUAGUCGAAACUUCGUUCUCUCUUGAAUGUAUCCUGAGUACGGCGGAACACGUGAAAUUCCGUCGGAAUCUGGGAGGACCAUCUCCCAAGGCUAAAUACUCCCUAGUGAUCGAUAGUGAACCAGUACCGUGAGGGAAAGGUGAAAAGCACCCCGGAAGGGGAGUGAAAGAGAUCCUGAAACCGUGUGCCUACAAAUAGUCAGAGCCCGUUAACGGGUGAUGGCGUGCCUUUUGUAGAAUGAACCGGCGAGUUACGAUCCCGUGCGAGGUUAAGCUGAAGAGGCGGAGCCGCAGCGAAAGCGAGUCUGAAUAGGGCGUUUAGUACGUGGUCGUAGACCCGAAACCAGGUGAUCUACCCAUGUCCAGGGUGAAGUUCAGGUAACACUGAAUGGAGGCCCGAACCCACGCACGUUGAAAAGUGCGGGGAUGAGGUGUGGGUAGCGGAGAAAUUCCAAUCGAACCUGGAGAUAGCUGGUUCUCCCCGAAAUAGCUUUAGGGCUAGCCUUAAGUGUAAGAGUCUUGGAGGUAGAGCACUGAUUGGACUAGGGGUCCUCAUCGGAUUACCGAAUUCAGUCAAACUCCGAAUGCCAAUGACUUAUCCUUAGGAGUCAGACUGCGAGUGAUAAGAUCCGUAGUCAAAAGGGAAACAGCCCAGACCGCCAGCUAAGGUCCCAAAGUGUGUAUUAAGUGGAAAAGGAUGUGGAGUUGCUUAGACAACUAGGAUGUUGGCUUAGAAGCAGCCACCAUUUAAAGAGUGCGUAAUAGCUCACUAGUCGAGUGACUCUGCGCCGAAAAUGUACCGGGGCUAAAUACACCACCGAAGCUGCGGAUUGAUACCAAUGGUAUCAGUGGUAGGGGAGCGUUCUAAGGACAGUGAAGUCAGACCGGAAGGACUGGUGGAGUGCUUAGAAGUGAGAAUGCCGGUAUGAGUAGCGAAAGACGGGUGAGAAUCCCGUCCACCGAAUGCCUAAGGUUUCCUGAGGAAGGCUCGUCCGCUCAGGGUUAGUCAGGACCUAGCCGAGGCCGACAGGCGUAGGCGAUGGACAACAGGUUGAUAUUCCUGUACCACCUCUUUAUCGUUUGAGCAAUGGAGGGACGCAGAAGGAUAGAAGAAGCGUGCGAUUGGUUGUGCACGUCCAAGCAGUUAGGCUGAUAAGUAGGCAAAUCCGCUUAUCGUGAAGGCUGAGCUGUGAUGGGGAAGCUCCUUAUGGAGCGAAGUCUUUGAUUCCCCGCUGCCAAGAAAAGCUUCUAGCGAGAUAAAAGGUGCCUGUACCGCAAACCGACACAGGUAGGCGAGGAGAGAAUCCUAAGGUGUGCGAGAGAACUCUGGUUAAGGAACUCGGCAAAAUGACCCCGUAACUUCGGGAGAAGGGGUGCUUUCUUAACGGAAAGCCGCAGUGAAUAGGCCCAAGCGACUGUUUAGCAAAAACACAGCUCUCUGCGAAGCCGUAAGGCGAAGUAUAGGGGGUGACACCUGCCCGGUGCUGGAAGGUUAAGGAGAGGGGUUAGCGUAAGCGAAGCUCUGAACUGAAGCCCCAGUAAACGGCGGCCGUAACUAUAACGGUCCUAAGGUAGCGAAAUUCCUUGUCGGGUAAGUUCCGACCCGCACGAAAGGUGUAACGAUUUGGGCACUGUCUCAACCAGAGACUCGGUGAAAUUAUAGUACCUGUGAAGAUGCAGGUUACCCGCGACAGGACGGAAAGACCCCGUGGAGCUUUACUGUAGCCUGAUAUUGAAUUUUGGUACAGUUUGUACAGGAUAGGCGGGAGCCUUUGAAACCGGAGCGCUAGCUUCGGUGGAGGCGCUGGUGGGAUACCGCCCUGACUGUAUUGAAAUUCUAACCUACGGGUCUUAUCGACCCGGGAGACAGUGUCAGGUGGGCAGUUUGACUGGGGCGGUCGCCUCCUAAAGUGUAACGGAGGCGCCCAAAGGUUCCCUCAGAAUGGUUGGAAAUCAUUCGUAGAGUGCAAAGGCAUAAGGGAGCUUGACUGCGAGACCUACAAGUCGAGCAGGGACGAAAGUCGGGCUUAGUGAUCCGGUGGUUCCGCAUGGAAGGGCCAUCGCUCAACGGAUAAAAGCUACCCCGGGGAUAACAGGCUUAUCUCCCCCAAGAGUCCACAUCGACGGGGAGGUUUGGCACCUCGAUGUCGGCUCAUCGCAUCCUGGGGCUGUAGUCGGUCCCAAGGGUUGGGCUGUUCGCCCAUUAAAGCGGUACGCGAGCUGGGUUCAGAACGUCGUGAGACAGUUCGGUCCCUAUCCGUCGUGGGCGUAGGAAAUUUGAGAGGAGCUGUCCUUAGUACGAGAGGACCGGGAUGGACGCACCGCUGGUGUACCAGUUGUUCUGCCAAGGGCAUAGCUGGGUAGCUAUGUGCGGAAGGGAUAAGUGCUGAAAGCAUCUAAGCAUGAAGCCCCCCUCAAGAUGAGAUUUCCCAUAGCGUAAGCUAGUAAGAUCCCUGAAAGAUGAUCAGGUUGAUAGGUUCGAGGUGGAAGCAUGGUGACAUGUGGAGCUGACGAAUACUAAUAGAUCGAGGACUUAACCAU